rfam:Gossypium hirsutum cultivar TM-1 chromosome 7, whole genome shotgun sequence
CAUAUCAGCGCGAGUUGCUGACAUGGCAGCAAAUCGUGCCCUCAAGGACGCGAUUUUGCUACCACGUCAGCAACUCGCGCUGACGUGG